rnacentral:tRNA from 1 species
GGGAGCCAAUCUUGCCCGGUGGUAGGCACGGUCUUCAAAACCGCUGAACGGUUCUCUGGAUCGUUGGUCGGUUCGACUCCGACUGGUUCCCGCCA